UCUCCGUAGGUGAACCUGCGGAGGGAUCAUUACUGAGUGAGGGUCUCCGGGCCCGACCUCCAACCCUUUUGUGAACCACCUCGUUGCUUCGGGGGCGACCCUGCCGUUCGCGGCGUGGGGCCCCCGGAGCCCAUCAAACCCUGCGUAACUAAGUCGUCGGAGUUUAAACAAAUUAAACAAAAAACUCACAAACGGAUCUCUCGGUUCGGGCAUAGAUGAAGAACGAGC
rnacentral:misc_RNA from 1 species